CAGGACUUUGCACCGCGCAGCUGUUUACUCUUCAGGGCUCCUGCAGUUAAUCAUGAGUGAUGGGACCUUUUCUCCGGGUUUGGCUUGGGGGCCCAGAAUCUAGCUUACAUCACCACAGAGGAAGUGUAUCUAGCAAAGCUUCCUCUGCGAGUUUCUUCACCAGGGCACUUAUCUAGGGCACAGCCAGCCAGCCAGCGGGUGAAGAUAAAUAGACUCAGUGCGCCCUGAGGUACAGAAAAGAGAUUCGGGUGAGAGUCAGAAGAAAUGCGUUUUUAGCUUAGUGUUUGUUUCUAGCUUGUGUGCUUGGGGCUCAGUUUCGUCUAGUAAAUUCAGAGGGCUGAGGUAAGAUGCUUCGAGUUGCAAGUUCUGGUGUUUUUUCAGCUGUUUUGAGGGAAGAAAGAUAAUUUUCAUUCUCAUUAUAUAUGGAACAACUAGGGAAGAAAGAAAGAAGACCUUCUAUUCACCCCAUGUAAUCAAUAUUUCAUUUCAUCUUUUUUGUGCAGUACUGAGGAUUGAACCCAGGGCCUUCCCGCUGAGCUACAUUCACUGAACGCUUUUAUGUUUUAAUUUUGGGAGGAUCCUCAGCAGGUCACUAAGUUGCCCAGGCUAGGCUCAAUUUUGUGAUUAUCCUACCUCAGAUUGCCAGGGUGUGGAAUUACUGGCAUGUGCCACCAAGCCUGUCUUUUUUUUUAAAUUUCAUAAUACCAUAUGGGGGUCAAGUGUGUCAGGAGAAUAGCAGUGACUUGGAGGCCAGCUUGGGCUAUAAAAAGAGUUCGAGGCCAGCCUGAACUACAUGAUGAAACCCUGUCUUAGAUAAAACAAAUCAAAACAAUAUCAUGUGGAAAAUAGCCAUACUUCAGGGAUAAAAUUUCAUGUGAGACAGUGUACAUUAUCUUUUAUGUAGCAUUUGCUUCGCACUUGUACGUAAAGUAUUUUUGGCUGUUUCAUGUUAUUCCAGUUGUGCUAUGAUUCAUUUGGGUAGAGAGUUAGUUAAAGGAAAGGUGCAAGACUUUUCUGUCAUAGGCUGUGCAGUCAUUUUUUCUUUUUGAUUUUGCUAGUUCAAUUUUUGAAGUAACAGUCUGUGUCAAGGAGGAAGUCUUGAUAAAUUAUUAGAAUGCAUUUUCAUUGUCUUUCCCUGAAUAUUCAUUAUGUUGUGUUUACUAAGGAAAAAGACUGUGGGAAGCAGAUGCCCUAUAAUUUUGUGAAUAAUCAAAGAUAUAGAGAAGAGGCAAGUAAGAGAGAUACGGGGACCUCAGACAGAUGAGGGAGACUAAAGAGGAGAUGAAUGGAUUUACAAAAAGACACCACAUUCUAAGCUCAUUGGAUUAUGCUGUGGCUUUUUAUAGACCAGAACUCUCUGUGAUAGUUACCAUUUAUAUGGUGACUCCUAAAGAGUUUCAAACUUUUCCCAUAAAGGGUGAGGUAGUAACUAUGUUUUGUGGACUUUAUGGUUUUUCUUUUGAGUCCUCCCCUCUGUUUUUGUAACACAAAUACAGAUAUAAACAAUAUGUAAAUGAUAUAAACAAUAUGUAAAUGAAUGGGCAUGGUUUUUCAAUAGACUUUGUUUUCAGGAACAGAAAGCAAGCUGGAUCAGACCUGUUGGGUCACAGUUUGCUGCACCUUGGAACAGGCUUAUUGCAGCCCCACUAUCAACAUCAGUAUCAGCCACUGCACCCCUGUUAUUUAAUCUGUGGUAGAAUUGGGAUCAAGAGAAGAGGAAGACAGAAACUCAAGCACCUAUGGCCCACAAGCCAGCCUCAAACUUAUUUGUCAGAAAAAGACCAGUUUUUAAAAGAGAAAACUAUGAUAGUGUGAAGGUCAAGGCAGAAUGUUUCUUGAUCCCUCAGUUGUAACCCAAGUGUUUGUGUCUAGAGAAUAGAUUUCUUUUUAAAUUAUCAGCUCGCUUUUUUUUCCUUUUUCUUUGUGUUGGGCAUCAAACUCAUUACCACAUACUUGCCAGCAGAUGCUGUGCUGCUGAGCUACAUCCCCAGCCAGCUGCUUUUUAUUUUUUUCAAACUAUCAUAUUAGCUUUCUCAUGGUCAGGAUGAAAUACCUGAUACCCACAAUUUAAAGGAGGAGAGGAUUCAUUUGACUCACAGGUUUAGGAUUUCAGUCAAUGGUUAGCUGGCUGCGAGGCAGAAACAUCAUAGUGGAAGGGUAUGGUGGAACAAAGCUGUUCAGUUCAGGGUGAUCCAGAGGCAGAGGAGAGGAUUACUGGACAAGAGGAACUGUUUAGAGACCAUAGAUGGUACCCAAGGACCCACUUUCAUGACCCACCCAGGAGCAUGCUUCACCAGUAAUCCAGUAGGCAUUUCAUGAUCCAUUGAAGUUGAAAAAUCGAGAUUAACAGUCAAAACUACUUUAUGAAAAAAAUAAUUUGAAAUUAAAAUCAAACUCCUGAGGGUUUCUGAAUUGAAGUUCUCUUGGGAGCAUUCGAACAUUAAAGUUCUUUUUGAGGCACAUCUAUAGAAUAUUUUAGAAAUUCCAAGAUGUUGGCUAGCAAACAUUUUAAGCUAAGCCAUGACUCUUAGGUAAAGUGAUGCAUUUUGAGAAAUUCUUUGUGAAAAUGAGAGUAUGGAUACUUACCUCUUUAGUAUAACAAGAUCGACUCCAACUAAGUUGAGGUCACACCAGUGCUAUCAGAUCCAUUUUCUCUGUUUCUGCUUUUGAGACUAGGAUCCCCAGGAUCCUCUUGGGAUCAUUGAUGAGGUAAUGUCUUAGAAAAUUUAGGAGGUGGGUGAAGCUCUAAUCUUCUCUAACUGGUUUUUUUAUCUUUGUUUUUGACUCAAUUAUCCUUCCCACUGGAAGCCUAAGUAGAAGUGUAAUUCAUGAAUUUGAUUAUUCAAUAUUCUAGAAUCUAGUGAUGUUUUCUUUAAUUUUUGAAGUCUUAAGUAGAACCAUGCAUAUAAGCUGAGAUCUCAAGGUGAUGAAAGCAUCCAUUGUGCAAUAGCAUCUCUUUUUCUUUGAUGUUGCAUAAACUUUCUUCUUUGGCUUAGGGCCUUUUAAGAUAUAUGUAUUUUAUAUGGUGAAGAAGAAUCAUCAGCCAUAAACUUCUCAUCACAAAUUUGCUUAUGUCAUAGUGCAUCGAAACAAAGCUCUGUUAUUCUGAGGGAGAAUGAAGUCCUCAAAUGAAACUUUUAAAAAGAAGGAAUGAGUGGUAUUCUCUCUUUUACUACCUAUUUUUCCCUUUUGUCUCAGUAUCAAAUAUAAUGAAUCUUUUCUGGAGCCUAUAACAAACUCAGUGUGCUCUAGGAACAUGCUGAUUAAUACAUGAUUAAAAAAGAAUCAGUUGUCUCAUUUUCUCAUGUUGUAUGUUUAGCACAUGUGGUUACUUUUUUGUCCUCCUUCACAGUGCUAGGUAUAGAACUCAGGGCCCAUGCCUGACACGGAAGUGCUGUGCUGCUGAGCUAUAUCCCCAGCCUAACCAGUGUGUGUUACUUUGAUGCUAAAGAAAUUUUAGUAAUAUGAAUAAUAGACUACAAUUAUUGGUUAAAAGAUCUUUCCUGAUUAAAACAAAAAGAUCUUUCCUGAUUUUACAUAUAUAUAUAUGAUUCCAAAGACUAUAUGAAAUUUAUUUGAUCUUGUGACAUAAUGUAUUUAAAGAUAGAGUAAUUUUUAUAGAAAGAAAACAAGCACUAGUUCCCAUGUCUGAUUUAUAGUUAUUUCCCUUUCAUCCUCUUUUCUCUAUUAAGGAAAUUGGUUCCAUGACUAAAAGGUGGAUGUUGAGAUGGUGCACCACAGGGAUGUGUAGACUGACUUGUCCUCAAGGAAGAACUCUGUCCAUAAAGAGUGUUUUCUAGACUACCGUGGCUUUCCCUUUGAGUCAGGAGAGUGAACCCUGGCUAACACAACACCAUGCAGCCAGGAAAAAGGGCGCUACUUCAACCAGAAGGAGCCCAUGAAUGUGCCUUAUGCCAAUCCUGUGUUAACAGUUCAUUACAUAUUCUGGAUGAGAAAAAAAUCUAUAAGAUAAUCACUAAUUUGUAAGGAAUAUGUAUAUUUUUUAAUUUUGGGAAAUUCUUCAAAAUAGGAUGACCUGGGUAAUGGUUGCCAAAGAAAGGGAUUUAGAGAUAUUUGACCAAAGAAGGUUGUAAAGCAAAUGUUAAAAAACCUGCCAAUCUCCAGUCACUGUUGGGAAAUGUGGGCACAGGAAGCAGUUUCAUAGAAACUGUUGAGAAGGUGUCUCAGGAUAUCUGACCUCAGCAGAAGCCAGCCAGAACCUGGAUGGUUAGGAUGUCUGCUUAGAUGUAUGAGGAGGAAGUAAUUAUGCAGACACAGUAAAUUGGCUUAGUUCUGGUUGAGGUACGCACUCACGGUGCGUUUCUUGAUGUCUAAUCCUCAGUUUCUUUAUCUGUAAUGACCAUAAUCAACACCUCGCCUGCUUACUGUAAGAACUCUUUGCAGAAUGCAGUGAGGUAGUGUCUGAGAAAGCAUGCUGAGACACACACAACCUCCAGGAGGGAAAACCUUUCCUCUACCCUUUUAUAUUCAGGACAGGGGGACCUGAGAAUGCAAGUGACAGAAGAUGAGCAGGACAAAGGCAUGUGAUUUUUAUUAGUAUUUACAUGCAUGAUGCUCACAGAAAAGAAAUGGUGAGUUUUGAGGCUUAUAUAUCCUUUCAACAAAGGAAGAUGGUUUGGGAGUCAAAGGAUGAUAAAUUCUGCAAAGUAACUAGGAAAUACACAGCAGGGACUAAUGAGAGAUAAAAAUUAUUUUGUGCAAACUUGUUUGGGAGUUGGCUCCUCCACCCUGGUAACUGGAGAUACUCAUCCCUGCCUUUGAAGAAAAGGGGUGCUGGUGGAGGUGCACCUGCAGAGAGAAAGGGGUUCUCUGCUUUUAUGCAGAAACUUUCAUACACCUGUAACCCAGCACGCAGAGAACUGAGGCCAAAGGAUCUCAAGUUCGAGUCCAGCCUCUGAUACAUGGGUAGGUGGAGCUGGAGCUGGAACCCAGCAUUCUAGUACCUUAGGCAAGUACUCUACCACUGAGGCACAUCUUCAGCCCACAUUAAUUGAAUUUUUUACAUUUCGAGACAGGAUCUUGCUAAGUUGUCAAGACCUUAAAUUUGUAGUCUUACCUAAGCCUCCUGAGUAAUUGGGGCUUAUGGGCUUGCAUGGUCAUGCUGAGCCAUGCAUUCUUUAUCAUUGUGUUUCUUAUAUGUUUUGUUUGACGCUUUUGUUUAAAUUUAGCCUUCUAGAGUAUUAGUAGCAUGGUCAACAAUUAUUAAUUAGAUGGGCAAAGGAAAUGUAAUUUCUGUAUUUUUCACAUCUGAGCUAAAUGCCUUCAUGAAUUCUUACCUGGAUAGAAAGAAGACAAUUGGCAUUUGGUAGUUAACUGCAUCUUAGUGUCUCUUGGAUUAAUUAGGUAUUUUGGGGUAUGUGCUUCGGUGUUUUAGAUUUCCUUUGCUCUCCCUGCAUCUGCUCAUGAUAGCACAUUGAUAUGCAAGACUGGUUUACACAUUACUGCAGGAUCUGUCAGCACUCUGUAUACUUUUGAUCUCUGUGACAGGAUGUCUGUUGAGGUACAAUGGAAUCUAUCAGGGCUUUUGGGUUGAGAAUUAUUAAUAUUCUGUGGCCUCUAUCUUUCUGAUUCUGGAUCUGUGUUUGUUCUGCUUGUUUGGGUGCUCUAGUGGGGUAUGUAUCCCUUCUGGGUUCCUUGCAUGCUCUACACAGGUGUCGAGGAACUGCUCGCUCCUCAGGUACAUGGGCCUAGAUCCUUCCCUGUGUUAGACCAUCAUGCCAAGCAUCAUACGGGCAUGACACUAAGCCGAGGGGAUGGUUUUCUCUUGAGGAUUUUAGGUU